GAUGAACGCUAGCGGCAGGCUUAAUACAUGCAAGUCGUGGGGCAGCAGGGUUGUAGCAAUACAAUCGCUGGCGACCGGCAAACGGGUGCGUAACACGUACGCAACCUUCCCGUUACUGUGGCAUAGCCCAGGGAAACUUGGAUUAAUACCACAUAUUAUAUAGAGGGGGCAUCUCCUUUAUAUCAAAGCUUCGGCGGUAACGGAUGGGCGUGCGGUUGAUUAGGUAGUUGGCGGGGUAACGGCCCACCAAGCCUACGAUCAAUAGCUGAUGUGAGAGCAUGAUCAGCCACACGGGCACUGAGACACGGGCCCGACUCCUACGGGAGGCAGCAGUAAGGAAUAUUGGGCAAUGGACGAAAGUCUGACCCAGCCAUGCCGCGUGAAGGAUUAAGGUCCUCUGGAUUGUAAACUUCUUUUCUCUGGGGCGAAAAACAGCUAUUCUUAGUUGCUUGACAGUACCAGAGGAAUAAGCACCGGCUAACUCCGUGCCAGCAGCCGCCGUAACAC
rnacentral:rRNA from 1 species